rnacentral:rRNA from 1 species
GAUGAACGCUGGCGGCGUGCCUAAUACAUGCAAGUCGAGCGAACAGACAAGGAGCUUGCUCCUUUGACGUUAGCGGCGGACGGGUGAGUAACACGUGGGUAACCUACCUAUAAGACUGGGAUAACUUCGGGAAACCGGAGCUAAUACCGGAUAAUAUUUCGAACCGCAUGGUUCGAUAGUGAAAGAUGGUUUUGCUAUCACUUAUAGAUGGACCCGCGCCGUAUUAGCUAGUUGGUAAGGUAACGGCUUACCAAGGCGACGAUACGUAGCCGACCUGAGAGGGUGAUCGGCCACACUGGAACUGAGACACGGUCCAGACUCCUACGGGAGGCAGCAGUAGGGAAUCUUCCGCAAUGGGCGAAAGCCUGACGGAGCAACGCCGCGUGAGUGAUGAAGGUCUUCGGAUCGUAAAACUCUGUUAUUAGGGAAGAACAUACGUGUAAGUAACUAUGCACGUCUUGACGGUACCUAAUCAGAAAGCCACGGCUAACUACGUGCCAGCAGCCGCGGUAAUACGUAGGUGGCAAGCGUUAUCCGGAAUUAUUGGGCGUAAAGCGCGCGUAGGCGGUUUUUUAAGUCUGAUGUGAAAGCCCACGGCUCAACCGUGGAGGGUCAUUGGAAACUGGAAAACUUGAGUGCAGAAGAGGAAAGUGGAAUUCCAUGUGUAGCGGUGAAAUGCGCAGAGAUAUGGAGGAACACCAGUGGCGAAGGCGACUUUCUGGUCUGUAACUGACGCUGAUGUGCGAAAGCGUGGGGAUCAAACAGGAUUAGAUACCCUGGUAGUCCACGCCGUAAACGAUGAGUGCUAAGUGUUAGGGGGUUUCCGCCCCUUAGUGCUGCAGCUAACGCAUUAAGCACUCCGCCUGGGGAGUACGACCGCAAGGUUGAAACUCAAAGGAAUUGACGGGGACCCGCACAAGCGGUGGAGCAUGUGGUUUAAUUCGAAGCAACGCGAAGAACCUUACCAAAUCUUGACAUCCCUUGACAACUCUAGAGAUAGAGCCUUCCCCUUCGGGGGACAAAGUGACAGGUGGUGCAUGGUUGUCGUCAGCUCGUGUCGUGAGAUGUUGGGUUAAGUCCCGCAACGAGCGCAACCCUUAAGCUUAGUUGCCAUCAUUAAGUUGGGCACUCUAAGUUGACUGCCAGUGACAAACCGGAGGAAGGUGGGGAUGACGUCAAAUCAUCAUGCCCCUUAUGAUUUGGGCUACACACGUGCUACAAUGGACAAUACAAAGGGCAGCGAAACCGCGAGGUCAAGCAAAUCCCAUAAAGUUGUUCUCAGUUCGGAUUGUAGUCUGCAACUCGACUACAUGAAGCUGGAAUCGCUAGUAAUCGUAGAUCAGCAUGCUACGGUGAAUACGUUCCCGGGUCU